rnacentral:rRNA from 1 species
AGUGAACGCUGGCGGCAGGCCUAACACAUGCAAGUCGAACGGCAGCACAGAGGAGCUUGCUCCUUGGGUGGCGAGUGGCGGACGGGUGAGGAAUACAUCGGAAUCUGCCUAUUUGUGGGGGAUAACGUAGGGAAACUUACGCUAAUACCGCAUACGACCUACGGGUGAAAGCGGAGGACCUUCGGGCUUCGCGCAGAUAGAUGAGCCGAUGUCGGAUUAGCUAGUUGGCGGGGUAAAGGCCCACCAAGGCGACGAUCCGUAGCUGGUCUGAGAGGAUGAUCAGCCACACUGGAACUGAGACACGGUCCAGACUCCUACGGGAGGCAGCAGUGGGGAAUAUUGGACAAUGGGCGCAAGCCUGAUCCAGCCAUGCCGCGUGGGUGAAGAAGGCCUUCGGGUUGUAAAGCCCUUUUGUUGGGAAAGAAAAGCAGCCGGUUAAUACCCGGUUGUUCUGACGGUACCCAAAGAAUAAGCACCGGCUAACUUCGUGCCAGCCGCCGCAGUAA